AUCAGCAGCCAUAACACCCUGCAGCCCAAGACUGGCUGCCCACUAAAGCUAAGCAGGGUUGAGCCUGGUCAGUACCUGGAUGGGAGAUCUCCUGGGAAAACUAGGUUGCUGCUGGAA
ensembl:rRNA 5S_rRNA 5S ribosomal RNA